GAUAUGGAAUGCGUGUGAGAGAUAUGUCUGGAUCAAUGUUUAAAGUAUUGUCUGAAGCUGGUAUGUAUUGUUCAAUAUGUAUGGCUUGUCAUGAUCUUGAAGUUCAGUCACCAAAGUUCAAUAUGUAUGUAUGUCUUGUUGUUCUAUGCUUAAUAUGUUUAGUGUCGAACAUGGGUAGGUCUGGAUGACGUGUCAUAUAUCAUGGUGGUAUUAGUAUGGGUGUUGGAAGAUUUGAGCUUCAAGAGUCCAAAGGAAGAGUAAUGCAUUUUCUGAAUAAUGUGGAUAUGAUGAAUUUGUUGUUUUUUGUUAGCACUACAUUGAGGUUCUGUUUUAGGAGAAUUCCUUGCCAGUAUUUACAUAUUAAUCGGUCCAGCCAGAUCACCCCACGAGUGAGAAUGGGAAAACUCAAAAUUAGGUGAUCUAAUCAUCAGCAAAGUGGGCUACUUAAAGGUGACGAUAUCACAGAUCGCUUUUUCUGCAUCCUUACGGUAACUUUUCAUGCUUAUAGUUAUGUUUGCAGGAGAUCUCCAAAUCAUUGGAAAUUUGAGUUUUGUGUCAUUAUUCAUUGGUCUUGAAUUUCACUAAGUCUGUUUAGUCAAGCAUUUGGUAAUUACAUAUGAUAGGAAACAAUAGUUUUCAGAGCAAUCCAGAUUCCAGAUUCCAGGCAAAGAAGGGUUGAGCAUUAGCAUGGUUGAUCUCCUUGGGCAGGCUGGUUGUCUCAAUGAGGCCUACAAUCUGAUGAAGGGCUGGUUGUCUCAAUGAGGCCUACAAUAUGAAAAUCUUAAUUCAUAUAAGCAACCUUAUUUCUGAAAAUAAUAUUCACCACAGUGGAUCUCUAUGAUAAGUGUUAUGAUGCUUGUGGGGGUGGCUAACAGUGGAGUGUGUACUGAUAGUGGGGUGUGUACUAACAAGCUAACCCCCAAAAAAAAAAAAAAAAGAAAAGAAAAAACUGUGCCAAUGAGCUAAAUACCCUCUUCUAUGCUCAAAAUUACUUCCAAUGUCCUUUAAAAACCCAAGGUUCCUGAGUCACGACUCUCAGAGGAGUAAUUGCAUUAGUAAAAUUGUCCAAAGCUACUCGUGCUAUAUAUAGUAGAGAUAUAGAGAUGUUUGUUAGUUAUGCCAAUUGGGCAAUAAAUUUAGCGCAUGAUCUCAUUAGUAGUUUAAAAUGAUUUUAUAUGUGUGGACUUGAGAAGUGACCAAUCUUGGUUUUACCCUUACUCUUCGAACGUACUUGAAUAUAUUGGUUGCAUUUGUUCUUCCAGAGAUCUGGUUGUUUUCGUUUUGAGAAAAUCAAAUGAGCCAAUGUCUUGUGAGAGUUGAGUUGGUGUCCUUUUAUUCAGGUUCAUUAAUUAUGGGAUUGAGCUUUGGUAUGGUUGCAAUCACUUAAUAAUGUCUCCCUUGCAGGUUCCAUUGAGAAGUGACCAAUCUUGGUUAGUUAUGUAAAAUAUAAAUAUAGAUGAAUGGGGCCAGUAGCUGCUGCGGUUACAAGUUUUCUGUUGGAUGCGGCUUGUAGUUGAACUCAUCACAGGCUAGGCUGUAUGAUGUAUAAAUGAAGUGGGUUUAGAGAAAAGUUAUUGUGGCCCUUUGUCAGGUGGUGGAUGUGUAUGGCCUGCUUCACAAGUUCGAUCCAAACCACUUAGAAACUCAAAAACUGUCUGAACAAUUGUGAGCUGUAUAUUGAACCGCUAAAAAGUUGUACAAACUGCAGUUGAACACAUAUCAACUGUUAGGUUUUACCAUAAUUACAUAUGUAAACACAUGUAAAUCUAUGGACAUGGGGAUGAUAUCACAGUUCAAGCUGGUGGUUGAAAUUGCUGGGUGAACAGUUUGAUCUCCAACUUUUUUUUUCUUUUUUUUCAUUUUUCUUUUCUUUUCUUGAAAGCAUUGAUUUGUAAUGCAGCGUUCUCAUUUGUUGUAGCACACUAUCAUACCUCUUCAGCACCUCGUAAGCUUUGGUCUUAACCUUGUCAGCCGAGCUUUUGAAUUUUAGGUAUGUAAACAAGUAACUUAACAAAGCAAUGUACCCUAAAAUCCGUAUCUGUAGGAUCUGUGCUGGGACUGUGCACAUUUGUAUCUGUAAUUUGUCUCCUAUCAUCAUCAUCAUCUCAAUUUUCUCCAAUUCGUGGUUCAGUUUCAAAUGAUAUAUUGGCAAAAGUUCUACAGUUGGCUAUCCACUGGACAUCAACCCUCUCUUUUACUGAACUUGCCAUGACAGAGGCUAACAUUAACACCACUCACAUGCAAGCACGAGUCCACCCAAUAUUGACCCCCAAGCCAACUAUUAGAUGCAGACCCCAAAGGGUAAGCAAGCAGAGUUAUUGGGGUGUAGUUUCAAUGCAAACCACUAAGCAGAAUUAUUCUUUUUAUUGCAGGCUAAUGCUUUUGCAAAGAAGCUUGGCUAUGCCUCGCCACUUCAAACAGGCCUAGUGAAAUUGCAGGCCCUUCUUUUGGGGUGAGGAAUAUAUGUUACCUUGUGAAAAAAGAAGAGAAGAAAUGGUGGAGUAGGCUGUUAAAGCAAGAAGGGAAGCCUCCUGUGUUUUUGAAAGUAGACUGAGACAAAUGGGUCAAUGAAGAUGAAGAGCAAGAAC